UCUACAAUUCAGAUAAGCAAGAGAGAGAAGAGAUGGAGUUCGUAGAUGGUAGAGAAACGAGAAGACGCGACGUCAACACCACCACCACUACCAUCGUUCGUUACUAUCACCACCAUCGCCAUCUCUCCCAUCCCCAAUCGCUCGUCAUCACCACCAUGGCUUCUAUGAUCCGUCUUUCCACCACCACCGUCACACUCGUCUCUUCUCUCUUUCUCUUGGAGAGAGUAAACUUGCUGAGUUUCUCACCGACGUUUUGGUGGUCACAGAGAGAGAUUGUGAAGAAGAUGAUUGAAAUGAUCGACUCUGGUUUUGAUUGUGGGAAUGUGAUAUGUGCCAGAUAUGACAAGACCUUGUUUCUAGGAAAGCAACACCAGCAAGUGUGGACCUCCUCUAUGACAUCUCAGAUGAUGUAUGAGAACAAAGGCUUAAGUCGGAGAUGGCAGAGAAAGCUAGCGGUGGUGGUGUAGGCCUAAUGGAAGAAAGUAUGCUGCUCUCUCUAGUGCUUUGGGUACUUUACCUUGGAAAAAGCCUUAAUCUUCUGAAUUUGAGAAAUUGGCUAGGAAAGAGAACUCAAGAUUUUGAGACUCUAUGCUAUCUGGUGGAAAACAACACCCCUAAGGCUGCAGCGAAGGUAAAAUUUCGAACCUGACGGAAGGAGAGACAUUUGUUUCGGACUUGCCUAUCAAGCAUGCCGACCAUAACCGAGACUGUCGUUGGAGUAGCUCCAUGACUUCUGUCAUUUCUUUCUCGACAUAAAGAAUGUAUCGAAAGCUGGAAAACAUAGCGGGUUAGGAACUUGGAAAGAAAGUCCUGACUAUCCUUGGUAAUCACUAUUAUCUCUGUCCAGUCUGUGGUGAACCUCCCACGAAGAAGGUUUUUGGUUAGCCGAGACCACACCUCUGCAGCGAAUGGACAUGAGAAAAACAAAUGAUCCCUAGUUUCCAACUGGUUGCAGAACACACACGCUGGGUUUAUACUAGAGGACCAUUGAAGCAUUCGGUCACCAGUUGUUAGACGGUUCUGAAUAGCUAACCAAGUAAAGAAAGCAAAUUUUGGAGUAUGAUGUUUGAACCAUAAGCUCUUGUGCCAGUCGACAGUUUGAGCUUGCUGAUGAAGUAAACUCCAAGUGUUUUUUGUGCUGAAUACAUGUUUAUAAGCAUCAGGAGAACUCUUCCAGACAGCACAAUCCUCUUCAUUUGAUAGCUUGGUUCUCCGUUCUUCCAUAGCAGCUUCAAUAAUGUUCAGAAUAUCUUGUCGAUGGCUUCUACGUCUUCUUCUC